UACGAAGGGGGCUAGCGUUGCUCGGAAUGACUGGGCGUAAAGGGCGCGUAGGCGGUUCGUACAGUCAGACGUGAAAUUCCCGGGCUCAACCUGGGGGCUGCGUUUGAUACGUACGGGCUUGAGUUCGGAAGAGGGUCGUGGAAUUCCCAGUGUAGAGGUGAAAUUCGUAGAUAUUGGGAAGAACACCGGUGGCGAAGGCGGCUCACUGGCCCGAUACUGACGCUGAGGCACGAAAGCGUGGGGAGCAAACAGG
rnacentral:rRNA from 1 species